rnacentral:tRNA from 1 species
AGGUCCAGCAGGGGUUUGAACCCUGGAUCUUUGGUUUACGAGACCAACGCCUUACCACUUGGCCACUAGACC